rnacentral:sRNA from 1 species
AGUGUAAUAGCAGCUUAUCAUUCAUGGGACACAUGUAGUAAAAACAUCAAGGAUCAAAGAAGAUUCGCUCUUGAAAAUGCACUUGAUUAUAAUGCAUUGAUUGAAAUUAAAAGUCUUUGUAACCAAUAUAGAGAGGUGUUACGCGCAUCUGGAUUACUAUGCCAUCAAAGAAAAGAUCAUGAUUCAAGUGAAUGGACUAAAUAUUCGACUAUGUUAUCAUU